CCUACGGGUGGCAGCAGUGGGGAAUAUUGGACAAUGGGGGGAACCCUGAUCCAGCGACGCCGCGUGAGUGAAGAAGUAUUUCGGUAUGUAAAGGUCUAUCAGCAGGGAAGAAAGAAAUGACGGUACCUGACUAAGAAGCCUCGGCUAACUACGGGCCAGCAGCCGCGGUAAUACGUAGGGGGCAAGCGUUAUCCGGAUUUACUGGGUGUAAAGGGAGCGUAGACGGUUACGCAAGUCUGGGGUGAAAGGCGGGGGCCCAACCCCCGGACUGCUUUGGAAACUGUAUAACUGGAGUGCAGGAGAGGUAAGUGGAAUUCCUAGGGUAGCGGUGAAAUGCGUAGAUAUUAGGAGGAACACCAGUGGCGAAGGCGGCUUACUGGACUGUAACUGACGUUGAGGCUCGAAAGCGUGGGUAUCGAACAGGAUUAGAUACCCGUGUAGUC
rnacentral:rRNA from 1 species